rnacentral:rRNA from 1 species
GACGAACGCUGGCGGCGUGCUUAACACAUGCAAGUCGAACGGAAAGGCCCUGCUUUUGUGGGGUGCUCGAGUGGCGAACGGGUGAGUAACACGUGAGUAACCUGCCCUUGACUUUGGGAUAACUUCAGGAAACUGGGGCUAAUACCGGAUAGGAGCUCCUGCUGCAUGGGGGGGGUUGGAAAGUUUCGGCGGUUGGGGAUGGACUCGCGGCUUAUCAGCUGGUUGGUGGGGUAGUGGCUUACCAAGGCUUUGACGGGUAGCCGGCCUGAGAGGGUGACCGGCCACAUUGGGACUGAGAUACGGACCAGACUCCUACGGGAGGCAGCAGGCGGGAAUAUUGCGCAAUGGGCGCAAGCCUAAUACAGCAACGCCGCGUGCGGGAUGACGGCCUUCGGGUUGUAAACCGCUUUCGCCUGUGACGAAGCGGGAGUGACGGUAAUGGGUAAAGAAGCACCGGCUAACUACGUG